rnacentral:rRNA from 1 species
GACGAACGCUGGCGGCGUGCUUAACACAUGCCAGUCGAACGGAAAGGCCCUGCUUUUGUGGGGUGCUCGAGUGGCGAACGGGUGAGUAACACGUGAGUAACCUGCCCUUGACUUUGGGAUAACUUCAGGAAACUGGGGCUAAUACCGGAUAGGAGCUCCUGCUGCAUGGUGGGGGUUGGAAAGUUUCGGCGGUUGGGGAUGGACUCGCGGCUUAUCAGCUUGUUGGUGGGGUAGUGGCUUACCAAGGCUUUGACGGGUAGCCGGCCUGAGAGGGUGACCGGCCACAUUGGGACUGAGAUACGGCCCAGAAUCCUACGGGAGGCAGCAGUGGGGAAUAUUGCACAAUGGGCGGAAGCCUGAUGCAGCAACGCCGCGUGCGGGAUGACGGCCUUCGGGUUGUAAACCGCUUUCGCCUGUGACGAAGCGUGAGUGACGGUAAUGGGUAAAGAAGCACCGGCUAACUACGUG